rfam:Oryza punctata chromosome 9, whole genome shotgun sequence.
AGGAUGAGAGCCGCUCAGGCUAGCCAAGGAGACUGCCUGUGAGAUCACAUGCAGAGCAGCUAGAAUGCAUCUUCUUCUACUGCAUGAGCAGAGACACAGGCAAGUCAUCCUUGGCUACCAGAUGCGAGCUCUCAUCG